UACGUAGGCAGCAAGCGUUGUUCGGAAUUACUGGGCGUAAAGAGUGUGUAGGCGGUGCUCUAAGUUCGGUGUGAAAUCUCCCGCUUAACUGGGAGGGUGCGCCGGAAACUGGAGUGCUCGAGCGUGGGAGAGGAAAGGCGGAAUUCCUGGCGUAGCGGUGAAAUGCGUAGAUAUCAGGAGGAACACCUGCGGUGUAGACGGCUUUCUGGACCAUUGCUGACGCUGAGACACGAAAGCGUGGGUAGCAAACAGG
rnacentral:rRNA from 1 species